rnacentral:rRNA from 1 species
UACGUAGGGAGCAAGCGUUGUCCGGAAUCAUUGGGCGUAAAGCGCGCGUAGGCGGCCUCAUAAGUCCGUUGUGAAAGUCAAAGGCUCAACCUUUGAAAGCCGAUGGAUACUGUGAGGCUAGAGUCCGGAAGAGGGCGAGUGGAAUUCCUGGUGUAGCGGUGGAAUGCGCAGAUAUCAGGAGGAACACCAAUAGCGAAGGCAGCUCGCUGGGACGGUACUGACGCUAAGGCGCGAAAGCGUGGGGAGCCGAACG